UCAUGACCAUCAUGCUAGUAAUCCAAAAAUCUAAUAGGAAGGCCUAUCCAUAACUUUGUUUGCAGGGGGAAAAAAAUAACGAUUUCCUUGCUAUUCACCCUAUUCCAAACGAUUAGCCUAGCUAUGUGAUCUUUAGUUUGUGUUCCCCUCGCGUUCGGAUCGGCAUCCCUGCUGCAGUAAAGGAGCUCAGACGCAGACUUUCGCCAACGUGCACCCUUUCCCAUGCAUCACAGACCGUCUUCAUUCAAACUUGAACGCAAGUGCGGAAUACUGAUCCGAACAUACUGUGCUGCUCCAAACCAGUUAACAACGUUGUAAACCCUCAAUUAACAUAAUCCACUGGAGAUACAAUUUGGAGCUCCUCGCAGCCGUGUCCGUGCAGCAGCCGAUCAGGCUUUUUUUUUGAGGAGGUAUAGGAGGAGAGCAUCUGCGCGUCACAUCUCCAUCAAGCGCAUAACAGCAACCAGAUGGGCUCCCACAACAACCCAGAAUGCACUGCCAAUGUCAGCAGCGAGCAUGAGGAAAGCAACACAGUGUUGUGAGUCCUGGCAGGGCGAAGAGACGCCCAUCGCCUCCCUGGUUCCACAGAGAACAGAAGCUGGACUCUCCCACCUGCACAGUGUCCAUCUGCUCCACCCAACCAUCGCAUCACCACACAAUGCACCAUAACCUUAUACAUAGACACAGCGAGCUUGACUCUAAUAUGCUGUGACAGUUUGUAUUUGACACAGGCAUAACUGCUCGAUGCUCCACGGUUAUUUUCAG
ensembl:lncRNA